rnacentral:rRNA from 1 species
UACGUAGGGGGCAAGCGUUAUCCGGAUUUACUGGGUGUAAAGGGAGCGUAGACGGCAAGACAAGCCUGGAGUGAAAGGCGGGGGCCCAACCCCCGGACUGCUCUGGGAACUGUCUGGCUGGAGUGCAGGAGGGGUAAGUGGAAUUCCUAGUGUAGCGGUGAAAUGCGUAGAUAUUAGGAGGGACACCAGUGGCGAAGGCGGCUUACUGGACUGUAACUGACGUUGAGGCUCGAAAGCGUGGGGAGCAAACAGG